rnacentral:lncRNA from 1 species
UUUCAUGCCAACCCCAAAAAUUUAGCCAUCAUGCUACCAUAGUGUCAUAAGCCUCAAUUUCAAUAAUAUAUAAAAUCAUAAAUUUCAACGCAGUCUCCAUAUACUCAAUUUUCCCAAAACAAUAUUUGAUUUCAAAACCAGUAUAAAUCUCAUUUUUAUUAAAAAAAAACAUUUGAAUUGAAAAACAUAAUAUUUUAUAAUUUAAACUCACCAUUCAAUAAAAGCAUCAAACAAGUAUAAUUACUCUAGAUAUUUAAGACGAUAAAUUGUCCACUCAUUGUAUUAGGGGUAGAAAUACUCCUGUUUUCAGUCCGCGGGUACAGUCCUUUACUCGUAUCUAAUGGCUCACCACCUAGCCAUAAUCCAUGACACAUAUUCCAAUUAAAUUAUGUCUAACAGUCAUAAGCUAUUUCAGGCUCGAUGUAUAUGCAUGAUAUGAUAUGCAAAAUGUCUAAAUUUUGCCUAAACGCGAUAUUAGCCUAUUUCGAUCUUUUCCCCGAUAAAUCGAUAUACGCGUCUGUUUAAACUCCAAAUUAAUUUUUUUUUGUUUCAAUUUUCAUACCUCAAUUGCACCCAAAUUGACUUAAUGUCCCUCAAUGUGGUGCAAAUUAUCAGUCCCGACAGCAAAUUACGAAAAUACCCAUAGUGGGUAAAAAUUCGUAUUUUUGCUCCGAAAAUUCCCAUUAUUUUUCUAGGCUCAUAAUUCAUCAUUAUUCAUCAUAAUUCCUCAAAUAAACAUCAAGAUCAGCAGCCAAUAUUCCCCUAGAAAAUUCGGCCAAUAAUGGUAAUGGAGGAAAAUGAAUUCUUUUCUUGUUGUUUUGUUUCUAAAUAUGCUAAACUAAAUUAAAACACUAACAUAACUUAAAAUCAAAUUAAUCUAACUUUAUUCUCUCUCCAUACCCAUUUGGGCAGCCAUGAAUUCACCAUGAAAACAUGAAAUCUAACCAUGGAAAAUGAGGAGAAAUGCAUGGGAAAGGUAGAUCACAAGUCAAAAUCAAGAAAUUUUACCUUUUGUCACUUGUUUCCUUGAAUUUUCACCAAUUUUCCCUUGAAUUUCUUUCCACCUAGGGUUUGUUCUUCCUUUCCCCUUUGUUUUCU